rnacentral:lncRNA from 1 species
UUACUGCGGAUCCAGAGUCAUUUCCUAUUGUUGAACUGAUUAGAGCCCGUAGAGAUUUUGGAAUUACGGCAGCUAUAGUGACAGCUGUGGCAGUGUCUGCUGCUGCAGCAGUUACAGCUGGAGUAGCCAUGGCCAGCCAAGUACAAACUGCUGCCACUAUUAAUCAGGUUAUUCAACAAACAUCCACCAUACUUGAAUCUCAAAGUAGAAUUAAUCAAUAUAUUUUAUCUGGGAUUCUGGCUGCUAAUCAAAGGAUAGAUCUGCUUCAAGCUUAAGUUGAGGAAUUGUCUGAUCUAGUACAUUUGGGUUGUGUUGAUCAACGUGCACAUUUAUGUAUAACCUCUGUCAGAUUUUAUGAUUCCAGAAAUGCCUCCCACAUCAUCGGGGAGUAUCUAUCUGGAACCUGGUCCAUGGAAGCAGAAAACUUGAUCCAGUCUCAACUAACUCAGAUUGCUGUUUUGAAUAGCACCCGUGUCGAACCAGUGACUUUGGGUCAAUUCACCAGUUGGCUAUCCUCUGCCUUUUCCUUUUUUAAGGAAUGGGUGGGAGUGGGCAUUUUUGGUGCUAUGUGUUGCUUCGGUGUUGUACUUUGUUUGUGGCUUCUCUGUCGCCUUAAAACUCGCCAUGCGCAAGAGAAGGCUAUGAUCAUACAGGCUCUUGCGGCCUUAGAAAAUGGCAUUUCUCCACAAAUCUGGCUUGCACAUCUUAAACAGUGAUUUCUGGGCAUGGCCAUUGCACCCCAAGUUAGUUUCACAUUGCACUGGGAUUGGCAUGUCCUCUUCCUUAUUCUCUCCCAGUGCUGAAUAGCCCUUGCACUCUGCAGGUCUUGUUACCAUUGCACGCAGAUGGGUUUCAGGACUGGUCUUUCUUCUCGGCUACAGACUCUUUACCUUCCUCUGGGGUUUAGGGAUUGUGUUGCCAACUUAAAUUUUGUCAUUACUACCAGGCUACUUGUGUUAUCCUACUUCUCGCCGUCGUCACGAUGCAGGAUGCGAGGCAAGGCACCGCACUUGAGUGAUCCCUCAACGGACCUCAAGGAAAGCAUGUCCUAUUGCAUGCGGGUUUGACAUCCACGUCCUGCCCUACGAAAAAAGGCGUCGGCUGAUAUGGGACCAGGUCUAGGGAAGGGCCCUCCUUAGGACUGAACCAUACAUUGCAGCCACUUCUGCACAGUGGGAUAGGACCUCUACUUUCGCCUGCAUUGUUUUAUAAAAUAGAAGGGGGAACUGUGGUAAGCCAUUCUUAUAGACCGUGGCCGCCAUUAGAAGAUGGCGCCGGCUUCCACUGUGGCCUGUGAUAAACAACUCCUUUUUUGGAGAGUUGGCACGCAAUCCCUUACCACCCUAUGAGAGAGAUCCACGUGGCAGCUUGGGAUUGGUAUGCGGGAG